rnacentral:lncRNA from 1 species
UUGGUUUCAUUCUCCUCUGCCUUCCCCUUCUAUCCUCGCCUCCGAUCUCUCUUCUUUUGCGCUGCACCAUCGGAGCCCCCGUCCCCAUCCCCGUGCCGUCAUCCCCUCCUUGGAUCCGACGUCUCUAUGUUGGAUCGGCUGUCUUCGAUCCCGUGCCCUCUCCCUUCUUCCCCACCUCCUCCCUUCUUUCCCUGAUGCUGUCGGAACCUGUUGGAGCCGGCAUCCCAAUGCCCCGACCUCCCCCUUCUUCCCUUGCUGCCGUCCUAGCGCC